rnacentral:rRNA from 1 species
UCUCAGUUCGGAUCGGAGUCUGCAACCCGACUCCGUGAAGCUGGAUUCGCUAGUAAUCGCGCAUCAGCCAUGGCGCGGUGAAUACGUUCCCGGGCCUUGUACACACCGCCCGUCAAGCCAUGGGAGCCGGGGGUGCUUGAAGUGCGUCGCCGCAAGGCGCGCCCUAGAGCAAAACCGGUGACUGGGGCUAAGUCGUAACAAGGUAAC